UACGGGGGGGGCAAGCGUUGUCCGGAAUUACUGGGCGUAAAGGGCUCGUAGGCGGCCAACUAAGUCAGACGUGAAAUCCCCAGGCUCAACCUGGGAACUGCGUCUGAUACUGGAUGGCUUGAAUCCGGGAGAGGGAUGCAGAAUUCCAGGUGUAGCGGUGAAAUGCGUAGAUAUCUGGAGGAAUACCGGUGGCGAAGGCGGCAUCCUGGACCGGCAUUGACGCUGAGGAGCGAAAGCCAGGGGAGCAAACGGG
rnacentral:rRNA from 1 species